CUAAUGAAUUUACACAAGGAAAUAUUUUUUAAACAAAUCAGAUUUAUCACAUGACAGGAUGCCUAGGAUAAACAUAUCGCUCGAAAAAGGAGAACAACUCAUAUGCACAGAUAGUCCACAUGGACUGUUGUCCUCCCCAUUAGGUAGCAACUCCUCCAACACUCGAUAUAAUCCAUUCACUUUUUUUCUAUAUGGAGGAGCCAUCUCCUUUCGACUCCAAAAUUCCAUUGAACUUUUCUAGACUCUCUUUAGCGGCAGAGAUAGCAAGAAACCCUUAAAUUAUUGUGAAGAUAACUUUUCACAAGCUGUUGUGAUAAACCCGUUUUUUGGUGCUUUCAAGGCAACUGGGAACUUGGGGGGAGAAAUGGUCAAAUCAUGACAUCAGUGAUCUUCAGGUCGGAGUUUUAUAAAUAUGCCAGAGUUUCUGACUUUGAAUUCAGAGUUCGAUGACCGUCUAUAACGAUUUUUCCCAGUUUGUUUGUUUGUUUCCCGAGAUCUUAGCUGUCUUGAGCGCUCGGAAGUCGGAGAUUUCAGUUUCCAGUUUUGAACCCAGCAUUUCUGUUGCGCACUAGCUAUCGAGACGUCAUCACUACAUGCGCUAUUUUAUCUGCCAGAUACUAUAAACGCCCGCGUUCUGGAUACGCCAAGCAAAAAGAGGGACUGAUCGAACAGCCAAUGGAAAGGCAAAGGCAAAGGCAAAAUACCCACCCAGCCGGACUCAGCUCGGGUGUGUGUGUGUGUGUGUGUGUGUGUGUGUGUGUGUGUGUGUGUGUGUGUGUGUGUGUGUGUGUGUGUGUGUGUGUGUGUGUGUGUGUGUGUGUGUGUAGAGAUCAGGGUUGUACAACAGGUUUGUUACACAUAGUCGAAUUCAAUAUGUAAAAACUCUUACAAAGGCCUUGAGGCAAGAGCAGUGUGCAGGUUAAUUUUUUUCUCAUGCUAUUCAACUGUUACCAUGCACCUGCAUCAAAGAUAGCUCAGAUAUGUGUGCCUUUUAAAUUUGAAUACGUAAAUUGCAAAAUGCUGGCAAUUACAUGUAAGUGUUUUGAAACUGAUGGCGAUUUUUAAAUUGUUUUAUUACUAGGCUAAUGGCUUCUUGGCUAACACUUUAUAAUGGUAACCAAGUCACAUGACCGAUCAUGACCUUUCAUGUACGUAAAUAAGGAAGUGAUUGCAUUUAAUUAGUAAAGAGGGGUUUACAACAUUGUUUUUCUAUAAAAUCACAUUAUUUUAAUUGAAAUACAUUAUACUGAAUUAACAAAUAGUUUAAAUACGUGUAUCAAUUUAUAUUUAAAUCUAACAUCACUUUCUGUUUUACUUUUAGCUUGCGUUGACAGUUUCCCCACCUCAACCAUGUGAAUUCUCUUCUUUUCCCUUACAGCUUAGACUACAGGGAUCACAGAAACCACACACACACACACCUAGCAUUUCACUGUAUCCUAUUUCUAACAGUUCAGCAGAAGGCCACCACACCACAUUAGAGUUGGUAAACACAAUACAUUUAUAUUUUCAUUAGCCCAGUAGUCUACUAGUUAAAGUUAAGACAGAGCCUAUGAACAACAGUGAGACUGACUACCACAGAAAGCAGCACUGGACAGCCAUGCAGGCGAAGGAAUGUGGAUUGUCCUACAGGGAAUUCUCUGAAGGAUGAGGAAAGGAUCCUGCAGAUUGUCCUACAGGAAUUGCCCUGAAAAUCUUGUGGAAUUACCUGCAGGAUUAUUGCCUACAGGAUAUCUCACAGGAUUUGGGUGACAUUUUCCUAUAGGACAAUUCCAUCAGUAGUACCUGCAUGAUUCCUAGUGUGUCCUCCAGGAUUCCUGUAUGAAUUUUGUCCUACAGAAAAGUGGCCCUGAAAAUCCUAUGGGAUAUCCUGCAGGACUUCCUAAACCUGUAGGAUAUACUGCAGGAUUUGUGCAGGAUUUUUCAUGCAGGACUCCUGUAGAAGUUUUUUGUAAGGGAUGAUUGGAUGGAAACCAGGUUAGUGGUGAGAUUAUUAUGGAGAGAAGAGCGAGAUUAUUUUUGUUGGUCAAAUGGCAGCCAAGCAUCGAUCAUCAUGUCACCAGAAUUGGACCCUCAAUAUUUAUUGGAAAGGAGCAUCAAGCUCAUCACCUUGCAUUUUCACCACCCUGUGAAGUUCAUCAUUUAUAGCCUAACUGCGUGGUUUCCUGAUUCGUAGUGGGAGGACCACACACCAUAUCAUCGCGCGACUUCAAAUUCUGUCAAUAUUUGUGCAUAAAGACGUAUCCACCGGCAUUUCUCACGUAAUUAAUUUGACAAAUUACCUGUAGACAUUUCCAAAAUUGUACGGAAACGUCCUGUUUCCAUCACAGCUGUUUAUAUGGUAGGACUUUACUUGCAUUAAAACUGUGGGUGGAUGGAUGGA